UACGUAGGUGGCAAGCGUUGUCCGGAUUUAUUGGGCGUAAAGAGCGUGUAGGCGGCCAGGUAGGUCUGGUGUGAAAACUCGAGGCUUAACCUCGAGAUGUCAUCGGAAACCAUCUGGCUAGAGUCCGGAAGAGGAGAGUGGAAUUCCUGGUGUAGCGGUGAAAUGCGCAGAUAUCAGGAAGAACACCAAUGGCGAAAGCAGCUCUCUGGGACGGUACUGACGCUGAGACGCGAAAGCGUGGGGAGCGAACAGG
rnacentral:rRNA from 1 species